GCGGCGGCGGCGGCGGCGCCGCGGCGCUGCCCGCCGGCUGCAAGCACGAUGGGCGGCCCCGAGGGGCUGGCAGGGCGGCGGGCGCCGCCGAGGGCAAGGUGGUGUGCAGCAGCCUGGAACUCGCGCAGGUCCUGCCCCCAGAUACUCUGCCCAACCGCACGGUCACCCUGAUUCUGAGUAACAAUAAGAUAUCCGAGCUGAAGAAUGGCUCAUUUUCUGGGUUAAGUCUCCUUGAAAGAUUGCUGUACAGGAAGCAUGGAGCUGGCAUCUGCUCGGCUUCUAAGGAGGCCUCAGGAAGCUUACAAUCAUGGUGGAAGGCCAAACUUGCAUGUCACAUGGCGAAAACAGAAGCGAGGAUGUGAUGUCAAGGGGAAAAACACUAGUAUAAACUUUGAUAUUUUAUUCAGAUGUCUUUAAAUGUGAUAUAUUUGUAAAUAUAUAUUUUUCUUAGCA
rnacentral:lncRNA from 10 species